UUGAGUAAAAUACUAUCUACUAGCAGCACCAUUUUCGACAUGUUUUGUGUUCGCGGCAUUUUUGACGUAGCUGCGUUCUUGCUUCUUUGCAUUGGUGUGUUCAGGUAUCAACGAAGGUGUUGAAAAGCUCGAGAUAGUGAAUCAAUUUCAAGAAGACGUCGUGACUGAUGAAUUUCAAGAGGUUGAUUUGAAUGAUGAAUUACAAGCAGAUAAAUUUGAACGAAUUGGAUGGUGUCUUAUUUAGGAUUGUAGUUGAAAGCAUUCAACUUGAGUGAAAUAUGUUUUUGGUUAUUUUGUUAGACUUGUAUUUCAAAGUAUUAAACUUAUUAUGUAAUGUUCAACAUUUUCUUACCACUGUAUAUUGAAUUAAUGUUCGAACCAUUUUAUUAUAAUAUAACUUUUGUCUAUGAGUUGUUGAA